UGAAUUGUCUGUGUACCUAUGCGUGUCUGUGUGCAUGCACGUUCAUUUAUCUCUCUCAAUCCUUCUCUCCAAGGAGACUCACCCACAGGAAGGAACUGUCAAUCACUUUGCUGGAGAAGAAAAAUAGGAGCGGCACCACAGCAGGGCGAUUAUAUCCAAUGGGAGGAUAUAAUAGUCUGCAAUCCAGACUGAACACCUUGCAAGCUGUUGGCAAUCCUGUCAGUAAGAAAUGAUUUUCUUAAGCUGAUUUAGAAUCAAGUCAUGAGACCAUUUUAACAACUUAGUGCAGAUGGAAAGGUGAUAGUUCCCUUUCGUUUUCGUUGUUAUUAAAGAAGAAGGAGUUGGAAAUCUUGCAGAUAGACUACGAAGAUUGACUGAUGUGUUGAAGUGCAAAUCAAGCAUCUCUCAGUCAGUGUCCCAGUGGGGAGCAGACGUCUGGGGAAAGGUGCUGCUGAAGGAUGCAUUCGCCCCGGCAUGUAGCAGAAGGAUACAUCCGUAAGACUUUGAAAUCUUUAAUAAAGCAAGUGAAAAUACAAGGAGUGGGACUAUGGAACUGGGGCAUCUCUGACUCAGCAAGCAUAGCUUCUGAGCAGGAUUAAAUAAAGUCGGAAACUAAAACACCCGAAGAGCCGUAGCAUCCCCAUGUCU